UAAUGGGUCAGCGACUUAUAUUCUGUAGCAAGGUUAACCGUAUAGGGGAGCCGCAGGGAAACCGAGUCUUAACUGGGCGUUAAGUUGCAGGGUAUAGACCCGAAACCCGGUGAUCUAGCCAUGGGCAGGUUGAAGGUUGGGUAACACUAACUGGAGGACCGAACCGACUAAUGUUGAAAAAUUAGCGGAUGACUUGUGGCUGGGGGUGAAAGGCCAAUCAAACCGGGAGAUAGCUGGUUCUCCCCGAAAGCUAUUUAGGUAGCGCCUCGUGAAUUCAUCUUCGGGGGUAGAGCACUGUUUCGGCUAGGGGGUCAUCCCGACUUACCAACCCGAUGCAAACUACGAAUACCGAAGAAUGUUAUCACGGGAGACACACGGCGGGUGCUAACGUCCGUCGUGAAGAGGGAAACAACCCAGACCGCCAGCUAAGGUCCCAAAGUCAUGGUUAAGUGGGAAACGAUGUGGGAAGGCACAGACAGCCAGGAUGUUGGCUUAGAAGCAGCCAUCAUUUAAAGAAAGCGUAAUAGCUCACUGGUCGAGUCGGCCUGCGCGGAAGAUGUAACGGGGCUAAACCAUGCACCGAAGCUGCGGCAGCGACACUAUGUGUUGUUGGGUAGGGGAGCGUUCUGUAAGCCUGCGAAGGUGACCUGUGAGGGUUGCUGGAGGUAUCAGAAGUGCGAAUGCUGACAUAAGUAACGAUAAAGCGGGUGAAAAGCCCGCUCGCCGGAAGACCAAGGGUUCCUGUCCAACGUUAAUCGGGGCAGGGUGAGUCGACCCCUAAGGCGAGGCCGAAAGGCGUAGUCGAUGGGAAACAGGUUAAUAUUCCUGUACUUGGUGUUACUGCGAAGGGGGGACGGAGAAGGCUAUGUUAGCCGGGCGACGGUUGUCCCGGUUUAAGCAUGUAGGCUGGUUAUCCAGGCAAAUCCGGAUAAUCAAGGCUGAGGUGUGAUGACGAGGCACUACGGUGCUGAAGUAACAAAUGCCCUGCUUCCAGGAAAAG
rnacentral:rRNA from 1 species